rnacentral:lncRNA from 1 species
AUUUUUUUGAGCAUGUAAAAGAAUUAUAAUGGCAUUUUUAUUCAAAAGUUUGAGUGAAGUGGUUAAUAAAAUUUGGAAUUAUAGCUUGCUGAAGUUCAUUGACUAGAGUUAGGGCUUGCAAAGAAAAAUCAAAAUUCCUAAUUACAAAAGUAAUAAGGCAAUUGGAGUUUGUGUAUGGUUGAGGUUACUAAGAAGAGUUUUUUUGAGCAUUUUAUAUUGGAUUUAAGCACUUUUGAUUUGAAAUUCGAAUUAAAUUCUUUUUAUAUGAAUAAAACCUAAUAGGAUUUCUUGA